rnacentral:rRNA from 1 species
GCCCAGACUCCUACGGGAGGCAGCAGUGGGGAAUAUUGCACAAUGGGGGAAACCCUGAUGCAGCGACGCCGCGUGAGUGAAGAAGUAUUUCGGUAUGUAAAGCUCUAUCAGCAGGGAAGAAAAUGACGGUACCUGAUUAAGAAGCCCCGGCUAACUACGUGCCAGCAGCCGCGGUAAUACGUAGGGGGCAAGCGUUAUCCGGAUUUACUGGGUGUAAAGGGAGCGUAGACGGUGAUGCAAGUCAGAAGUGAAAGCCCGGGGCUCAACUCCGGGACUGCUUUUGAAACUGUGUAACUGGAGUGCAGGAGAGGUAAGCGGAAUUCCUGGUGUAGCGGUGAAAUGCGUAGAUAUCAGGAGGAACACCGGCGGCGAAGGCGGCCUGCUGGACUGAAACUGACGUUGAGGCUCGAAAGCGUGGGGGGCAAACAGGAUUAGAUACCCGAGUA